AGUGAACAAAAAAACAAUAAGCCACUAAUAUAAACAGACAGUUCGUUAAACCGUACAUAUUAUAAUUUUCAGUUCAUCGGAGUGAGAUGAUUAGAUGGAGAUGGAUGAAGAUGGCUGUUUCUUCGGCGAUGGCGGCACUCUAGCUACGUUUCACCGGAAGAGUAGAUGUUUACGAAGUCGUUGCAGAAGACACAUUCGACUAAAAAUUCUAAAAUUUCAAUAAGCAAAGAAGAUAUUCUAAGUUCUGGCUGUAUUCUGGAGCGUUUCCUCAUGGGCGUCGCAAUUCACACACGUCACGGAUUCCGCCGAAGGAGUCGAUAAUAAAAACUGAACUUUUGGAUCGGAGAUAUGAAGACGCGCGCUGCAUUUUCCUUGGCGGAGAUGCACAGCCCUGACACUAGACAAUAUUAUACACUCGAAGGGAACGCGUUUCGCCGGAAGAAUUAC